ACGCUGGCGGCGUGCUUAACACAUGCAAGUCGAACUGAAAGGCCCUGCUUUUGUGGGGUGCUCGAGUGGCGAACGGGCGAGUAACACGUGAGUAACCUGCCCUUGACUUUGGGAUAACUACAGGAAACUGGGGCUAAUACCGGAUAGGAGCUCCUGCUGCAUGGUGGGGGUUGGAAAGUUUCGGCGGUUGGGGAUGGACUCGCGGCUUAUCAGCUUGUUGGUGGGGUAGUGGCUUACCAAGGCUUUGACGGGUAGCCGGCCUGAGAGGGUGACCGGCCACAUUGGGACUGAGAUACGGCCCAGACUCCUACGGGAGGCAGCAGUGGGGAAUAUUGCACAAUGGGCGGAAGCCUGAUGCAGCAACGCCGCGUGCGGGAUGACGGCCUUCGGGUUGUAAACCGCUUUCGCCUGUGACGAAGCGUGAGUGACGGUAAUGGGUAAAGAAGCACCGGCUAACUACGUGCCAGCAGCCGCGGUGAUACGUAGGGUGCGAGCGUUGUCCGGAUUUAUUGGGCGUAAAGGGCUCGUAGGUGGUUGAUCGCGUCGGAAGUGUAAUCUUGGGGCUUAACCCUGAGCGUGCUUUCGAUACGGGUUGACUUGAGGAAGGUAGGGGAGAAUGGAAUUCCUGGUGGAGCGGUGGAAUGCGCAGAUAUCAGGAGGAACACCAGUGGCGAAGGCGGUUCUCUGGGCCUUUCCUGACGCUGAGGAGCGAAAGCGUGGGGAGCGAACAGGCUUAGAUACCCUGGUAGUCCACGCUGUAAACGGUGGGUACUAGGUGUGGGGUCCAUUCCACGGGUUCCGUGCCGUAGCUAACGCUUUAAGUACCCCGCCUGGGGAGUACGGCCGCAAGGCUAAAACUCAAAGGAAUUGACGGGGCCCCGCACAAGCGGCGGAGCAUGCGGAUUAAUUCGAUGCAACGCGUAGAACCUUACCUGGGUUUGACAUGGAUCGGGAGUGCUCAGAGAUGGGUGUGCCUCUUUUGGGGUCGGUUCACAGGUGGUGCAUGGCUGUCGUCAGCUCGUGUCGUGAGAUGUUGGGUUAAGUCCCGCAACGAGCGCAACCCUUGUUCACUGUUGCCAGCACGUUAUGGUGGGGACUCAGUGGAGACCGCCGGGGUCAACUCGGAGGAAGGUGGGGAUGACGUCAAGUCAUCAUGCCCCUUAUGUCCAGGGCUUCACGCAUGCUACAAUGGCUGGUACAGAGAGUGGCGAGCCUGUGAGGGUGAGCGAAUCUCGGAAAGCCGGUCUCAGUUCGGAUUGGGGUCUGCAACUCGACCUCAUGAAGUCGGAGUCGCUAGUAAUCGCAGAUCAGCAACGCUGCGGUGAAUACGUUCCCGGGGCUUGUACACACCGCCCGUCAAGUCAUGAAAGUUGGUAACACCCGAAGCCGGUGGCCUAACCGUUGUGGGGGAGCCGUCGAAGGUGGGACUGGUGGUUAGGAC
rnacentral:rRNA from 1 species